rnacentral:rRNA from 1 species
CCUACGGGAGGCAGCAGUGGGGAAUAUUGCACAAUGGGGGAAACCCUGAUGCAGCGACGCCGCGUGAGUGAAGAAGUAAUUCGUUAUGUAAAGCUCUAUCAGCAGGGAAGAAAAUGACGGUACCUGAGUAAGAAGCCCCGGCUAACUACGUGCCAGCAGCCGCGGUAAUACGUAGGGGCCAAGCGUUAUCCGGAUUUACUGGGUGUAAAGGGAGCGUAGACGGCAGUGCAGGUCUGGAGUGAAAGGCGGGGGCGCAACCACCGGACUGCGAUGGAAACUGUACGGCUGGAGUGCAGGAGAGGUAAGUGGAAUUCGUAGUGUAGCGGUGAAAUGCGUAGAGAUUAGGAGGAACACCAGUGGCGAAGGCGGCUUACUGGACUGUAACUGACGUUGAGGCUCGAAAGCGUGGGGAGCAAACAGGAUUAGAUACCCGAGUAGUC